CUCCUACAAUAAUCUAUCAAUUUUUGUUUAAAGGUCUAUAUGGAGAUUUGAGUCUCAUGCUUUAAACAGAGAAAGAAUUUCAGAGGAGCACACAUCUGAACU